rnacentral:rRNA from 1 species
GACGAACGCUGGCGGCGUGCUUAACACAUGCAAGUCGAACGAAGAGCGAUGGAAGCUUGCUUCUAUCAAUCUUAGUGGCGCACGGGUGAGUAACGCGUAAUCAACCUGCCCUUCAGAGGGGGACAACAGUUGGAAACGACUGCUAAUACCGCAUACGAUCUAACCUCGGCAUCGAGGAAAGAUGAAAGGUGGCCUCUAUGUAUAAGCUAUCACUGAAGGAGGGGAUUGCGUCUGAUUAGCUAGUUGGAGGGGUAACGGCCCACCAAGGCGAUGAUCAGUAGCCGGUCUGAGAGGAUGAACGGCCACAUUGGGACUGAGACACGGCCCAGACUCCUACGGGAGGCAGCAGUGGGGAAUCUUCCGCAAUGGACGAAAGUCUGACGGAGCAACGCCGCGUGAGUGAUGACGGCCUUCGGGUUGUAAAGCUCUGUUAAUCGGGACGAAAGGCCUUCUUGCGAAUAGGGAGAAGGAUUGACGGUCCCGGAAUAGAAAGCCACGGCUAACUACGUG